AUUGAACGCUGGCGGCAUGCCUUACACAUGCAAGUCGAACGGCAGCACGGGAGCAAUCCUGGUGGCGAGUGGCGAACGGGUGAGUAAAGUAUCGGAACGUGCCCAGUCGUGGGGGAUAACGGAGCGAAAGUUACGCUAAUACCGCAUACGAUCUAUGGAUGAAAGCGGGGGAUCGCAAGACCUCGCGCGAUUGGAGCGGCCGAUAUCAGAUUAGGUAGUUGGUGGGGUAAAGGCUCACCAAGCCGACGAUCUGUAGCUGGUCUGAGAGGACGACCAGACACACUGGGACUGAGACACGGCCCAGACUCCUACGGGAGGCAGCAGUGGGGAAUUUUGGACAAUGGGCGAAAGCCUGAUCCAGCCAUGCCGCGUGCAGGAUGAAGGCCUUCGGGUUGUAAACUGCUUUUGUACGGAACGAAAAGGUUUGGCCUAAUAAGCUGAGCUCAUGACGGUACCGUAAGAAUAAGCACCGGCUAACUACGUGCCAGCAGCCGCCGUAAUAC
rnacentral:rRNA from 1 species